GCCUGAUCCGACAUGGAACUCUUCUCCAGGUCUUUUGUCUGAAUUCUAAUCUUUAUACCUUGAGUCAAAGCUCAUCGUGAAGCAUAACCGUGGCAGCUUUAGCAUUUCAGAAACCUUAGAAGGAAUUCAAGUCCCUUUCAUCUGUUCUUCUUCCACAGGCAAGAAUUUGCCUUCUCAGAGGAAAUGCACUCCCCGCCCCCUGUGUCUUGCACAGUCUAGAAGAUGUGAGCAGAGACGAACGGAAGACACUGCCUUGGGCCCCCCUCUCUUUGCGGGCUCAUGAGAAGGUGGUGUGGGGCCGUAGGUGGCAAAGUCUCUCACGCAGGCUAUACUGAUCUCCCUGUCCACCUCCUUCUCCAGAGACCCCCUCAGCACAGAGACCUGGGUGAAACGGCCUUCUCUCUCGCAAUUCUUGGCAGGAAAGAGGAUUGUUUGUUGAAUGAGCAAAUGAAUAAACGGGCAUCCUACCCAGUGUGA
rnacentral:lncRNA from 1 species